rnacentral:rRNA from 1 species
AUUGAACGCUGGCGGCAGGCCUAACACAUGCAAGUCGUGCAAGCGGCGGACGGGUGAGUAAUGUAUGGGGAUCUUCCUGAUGACGGGGGAUAACUACUGGAGACGGUAGCUAAUACCGCAUACCGUCAGAUGCACCCAUAUGGGAUUAGCUUGUAGGUGAGGUAACGGCUCACCUAGGCGACGAGCCCUAGCUGGUCUGAGAGGAUGAUGCGCAACACUGGGACUGAGAAACGGCCCAGCCGCCUACGGGAGGCAGCAGUGGGGCAUAUUGCACAAUGGGUGGAAGCCUGAUGCAGCCAUGCCGCGUGUAUGAAGAAGGCCUUAGGGUUGUAAAGUACUUUCAGUCGGGAGGCGUUACCGACAGAAGAAGCACCGGCUAACUCCGUGCCAGCAGCCGCGGUAAUAC